rnacentral:rRNA from 1 species
UACGGGGGGGGGCAAGCGUUGUUCGGAAUUACUGGGCGUAAAGGGCUCUUAGGCGGCCAACUAAGUCGGAUGUGAAAUCCCCAGGCUUAACCUGGGAACUGCAUCCGAUACUGGAUGGCUUGAAUCCGGGAGAGGGAUGCAGAAUUCCAGGUGUAGCGGUGAAAUGCGUAGAUAUCUGGAGGAAUACCGGUGGCGAAGGCGGGUCUCUGGGCCGAUACUGACGCUGAGGAGCGAAAGCGUGGGGAGCGAACAGG